rnacentral:rRNA from 1 species
GAUGAACGCUGGCGGCGUGCCUAAUACGUGCAAGUCGAGCGAACAGACGAGGAGCUUGCUCCUCUGACGUUAGCGGCGGACGGGUGAGUAACACGUGGAUAACCUACCUAUAAGACUGGGAUAACUUCGGGAAACCGGAGCUAAUACCGGAUAAUAUAUUGAACCGCAUGGUUCAAUAGUGAAAGACGGUUUUGCUGUCACUUAUAGAUGGAUCCGCGCCGCAUUAGCUAGUUGGUAAGGUAACGGCUUACCAAGGCAACGAUGCGUAGCCGACCUGGGAGGGUGAUCGGCCACACUGGAACUGAGACACGGUCCAGACUCCUACGGGAGGCAGCAGUAGGGAAUCUUCCGCAAUGGGCGAAAGCCUGACGGAGCAACGCCGCGUGAGUGAUGAAGGUCUUCGGAUCGUAAAACUCUGUUAUUAGGGAAGAACAAAUGUGUAAGUAACUAUGCACGUCUUGACGGUACCUAAUCAGAAAGCCACGGCUAACUACGUG